GCCCUUUUAGUCUAGUGGUCAGGACCUUGCCUUUUCACGGCAAUAACACGGGUUCGAACCCCGUAAAGGGUA
rfam:Saprolegnia parasitica CBS 223.65 mitochondrial scaffold supercont2.1443, whole genome shotgun sequence.